GUAGGGAAUAUUGCACAAUGGGCGAAAGCCUGAUGCAGCAACGCCGCGUGCGCGACGAAGGCCUUCGGGUCGUAAAGCGCUUUUCGGGGAGACGAGGAAGGACGGUAUCCCCGGAAUAAGGCUCGGCUAACUACGUGCCAGCAGCCGCGGUAAAACGUAGGAGCCAAGCGUUAUCCGAAUUCACUGGGCGUAAAGCGCGUGCAGGCGGCCUGAUAAGUUGGAUGUGAAAGCUCCUGGCUCAACUGGGAGAGGACGUUCAAUACUGUCAGGCUAGAGGGCAGCAGAGGGAGGUGGAAUUCCCGGUGUAGUGGUGAAAUGCGUAGAUAUCGGGAGGAACACCAGUGGCGAAGGCGACCUCCUGGGCUGUACCUGACGCUCAGAUGCGAAAGCUAGGGGAGCGAACGGGAUUAGAAACCCGAGUAGUCC
rnacentral:rRNA from 1 species